AUGGAAAGAUUCUGCCCCUUUUUAGGGUGAAAAGAAAAACCACAUCCAAUCUUCCGGCACAUGUCCAAGCAGUUCAAGAUCGGGAAAGGAAUGACAAAAGAUUAGUGGACUUGAUUAUCACAUCAAAAUCAGCUGAGCAGCAUUUGGUGGAUAUACUCGGUGGGAAAAAGUCAAAUUGGUUUCCACUAAAACCCCGUUCUCAAGUGCCUGUCUACAUUGAGAAUGAGCAGUCCCAGUCAAUCAUUUGUGACUACAUCAGAGGAAUUCUUAAUAAAACCAAAACACAGCUGACCUUCAAUGAUGAGGUGGAGUUCAUUUGUGGAUGUCUCCUCCCAGAGGCCAUAACUCAUGGCAUUUCCGAGUUACAAGGCUUGUCUUGGCAGGAGGCUGAAGAUGUCUUCCUCCAGGGCCCCAUUUAUCA